AUUGAACGCUGGCGGCAGGCCUAACACAUGCAAGUCGAGCGGAUGAAGGGAGCUUGCUCCUGGAUUCAGCGGCGGACGGGUGAGUAAUGCCUAGGAAUCUGCCUGGUAGUGGGGGAUAACGUCCGGAAACGGGCGCUAAUACCGCAUACGUCCUGAGGGAGAAAGUGGGGGAUCUUCGGACCUCACGCUAUCAGAUGAGCCUAGGUCGGAUUAGCUAGUUGGUGGGGUAAAGGCCUACCAAGGCGACGAUCCGUAACUGGUCUGAGAGGAUGAUCAGUCACACUGGAACUGAGACACGGUCCAGACUCCUACGGGAGGCAGCAGUGGGGAAUAGUGGACAAUGGGCGAAAGCCUGAUCCAGCCAUGCCGCGUGUGUGAAGAAGGUCUUCGGAUUGUAAAGCACUUUAAGUUGGGAGGAAGGGCAGUAAGUUAAUACCUUGCUGUUUUGACGGUACCAACAGAAUAAGCACCGGCUAACUUCGUG
rnacentral:rRNA from 1 species